AUGAUUAACUUUGGUGGGAUAGUUUCUAGUAUCAAGGAUGAUAUCUGGAAAAUUAGAGUUCCACCCAAUAUUCAUGUUUUUCUCUGGUUGAUCUACUAUAAUAAGAGCUUAACUAGGGAUAAUCUGGCCAAGCGUAGGCAUGUGAAUGACAUGUCGUGUGUCUUCUGUAGUGAACCUGAAACCAUCCAACACUUAUUUUUUGAUUGCAUUGUUGCUAGGCAUGUUUGGGAGGUGGUUGCUGAUAGCUUUAAUAUUUCUGCACCUGAAUCUUUUGAACUGCUGUCUUCUUUCUGGAAGAGGAGAAAAUAUUGUGAAGCUUUAAAUAUUGUUACUGCUGCUACCUUGUGGAUCUUAUGGCGAUUUCGGAAUGAUUUUGUUUUCCAGGGGAGAAGAUGGCGAAGUAUACGCUGUGUCCUAGACCUGUUGGGGGCAACGAUCAGGCGGUGGAAAAUCUUAUGCUCAGAGGCUCAGGGCGCGCUUCUUCUCCGGUGUUUAAGACUUUUGGAUCAUCGAAGGAAGGAAUUGCUUAGAAUCGCGUGGCGGUGA
rnacentral:rRNA from 1 species